rnacentral:misc_RNA from 1 species
AUAAACAUACUGUGACCUGCAAAGGUCUAAUGUAUCCAACCCUUUGUGAAACUUCUAUUUUUGCUUCGGCAGCACUCCCAACAAGUAAUAUUGUUGGUGGGUAAGGCUGUCAGAAGACCUACAAAACUAGUUUGAUGAAAUGUCAUGCAGUCUGAUAACCAUUUUUUGAGAAAUCAAAUUAUGUUA